rnacentral:rRNA from 1 species
GAUGAACGCUGACAGAAUGCUUAACACAUGCAAGUCUACUUGAUUCACUUCGGUGAUAGUAAGGUGGCGGACGGGUGAGUAACACGUAAAGAACUUGCCUUACAGUCUGGGACAACUAUUGGAAACGAUAGCUAAUACCGGAUAUUAUGCGAGAGUCGCAUGACUCUUGUAUGAAAGCUAUAUGUGCUGUAAGAGAGCUUUGCGUCCCAUUAGCUAGUUGGUGAGGUAACGGCUCACCAAGGCCACGAUGGGUAGCCGGCCUGAGAGGGUGAACGGCCACAAGGGGACUGAGACACGGCCCUUACUCCUACGGGAGGCAGCAGUGGGGAAUAUUGGACAAUGGACCAAAAGUCUGAUCCAGCAAUUCUGUGUGCACGAUGACGGUCUUAGGAUUGUAAAGUGCUUUCAAUUGGGAAGAAAAAAAAUGACGGUACCAAUAGAAGAAGCGACGGCUAAAUACGUGCCAGCAGCCGCGGUAAUACGUAUGUCGCAAGCGUUAUCCGGAUUUAUUGGGCGUAAAGCGCGUCUAGGUGGUUUGGUAAGUCUGAUGUGAAAAUGCGGGGCUCAACUCCGUAUUGCGUUGGAAACUGCCUAACUAGAGUAUCGGAGAGGUGGGCGGAACUACAAGUGUAGAGGUGAAAUUCGUAGAUAUUUGUAGGAAUGCCGAUAGAGAAGUCAGCUCACUGGACGAAUACUGACACUGAAGCGCGAAAGCAUGGGGGGCAAACAGGAUUAGAUACCCUGGUAGUCCAUGCUGUAAACGAUGAUUACUAAGCGUCGGGGGUCGAAACCUCGGCACUCAAGCUAACGCGAUAAGUAAUCCGCCUGGGGAGUACGUACGCAAGUAUGAAAACUCAAAGGAAUUGACGGGGACCCGCACAAGUGGUGGAGCAUGUGGUUUAAUUCGACGCAACGCGAGGAACCUUACCAGCGUUUGACAUCCUAGGAAUGAGAAAGAGAUUUCUUAGUGCUCCUUCGGGAGAACCUAGAGACAGGUGGUGCAUGGCUGUCGUCAGCUCGUGUCGUGAGAUGUUGGGUUAAGUCCCGCAACGAGCGCAACCCCUAUUGUAUGUUGCCAUCAUUAAGUUGGGCACUCAUGCGAUACUGCCUGCGAUGAGCAGGAGGAAGGUGGGGAUGACGUCAAGUCAUCAUGCCCCUUAUACGCUGGGCUACACACGUGCUACAAUGGGCAGUACAGAGAGAAGCAAAUCUGCGAGGAGGAGCAAAUCUCACAAAGCUGUUCGUAGUUCGGAUUGUACUCUGCAACUCGAGUACAUGAAGUUGGAAUCACUAGUAAUCGCAAAUCAGCUAUGUUGCGGUGAAUACGUUCUCGGGUCU